UACAGAGGUCUCGAGCGUUGUUCGGAUUCAUUGGGCGUAAAGGGUGCGUAGGUGGCGCUGUAAGUCAGGUGUGAAAUUUCGGAGCUUAACUCCGAAACUGCAUUUGAUACUGCGGUGCUUGAGGACUGGAGAGGAGACUGGAAUUUACGGUGUAGCAGUGAAAUGCGUAGAGAUCGUAAGGAAGACCAGUGGCGAAGGCGAGUUUCUGGACAGUAACGUGACGCUGAGGCAACGGAAGGCCCAGGGGAGCAAACGGG
rnacentral:rRNA from 1 species